UUCACGGGUGAGUUCGCGUUGCGUGUGUUUACAUUCAGUGUUGCCAACCUGGCGACUUCCUCGCUAAAUCUGGCAACUUUCCAAAGCCUCUUAACAACUUAUUUUUUUUUUUGUUAAACGACUAGCGACAAAUCAAGCUAUUUUUCCUGGCGU